UUUGUACUCUUUCGGUCCGGAAAUACUUGUCGGAGAAAUGGAUGUAUAUAGACGUAUUUUAGUUUAGAUACAUCAAAUUUUAUUCAUUCUACGAUAAGUAAUUCCGGACGGAGGGAGUAUGUA
rnacentral:pre_miRNA from 1 species